GAUGAACGCUGGCGAUAGGCUUAACACAUGCAAGUCGAGGGGCAUCGGGGUGCAGCAAUGCACUGCCGGCGACCGGCGCACGGGUGAGUAACAGGUAUGCAACCUGCCAUCGAGCGGGGGAUAACCCGUUGAAAGACGGACUAAUACCCCAUAAUAACGGGAAUUCGCAUGGGUUUUCGUUUAAAGAUACGUUGCUGGAUGAUGGGCAUGCUUUCCAUUAGGCAGUCGGCGGGGUAACGGCCCACCGAGCCGACGAUGGAUAGGGGCACUGAGAGGUUUGUCCCCCACACCGGUACUGAGACACGGACCGGACUCCUACGGGAGGCAGCAGUGAGGAAUCUUGGUCAAUGGGCGGAAGCCUGAACCAGCCAAAUCGCGUGAAGGAAGACGGUAUUAUGUAUUGUAAACUUCUUUUGACGGGGAAUAAAGGUUGUCACGAGUGACAGAUUGAAUGUACCCGUCGAAUAAGGAUCGGCUAACUCCGUGCCAGCAGCCGCGGUAAUACGGAGGAUCCGAGCGUUAUCCGGAUUUAUUGGGUUUAAAGGGUGCGUAGGCGGGGAUAUAAGUCGGCGGUGAAAUUUUGCGGCUCAACCGAAAAACUGCCGUCGAAACUGUAUUUCUUGAGAUCGGCAGACGUAGGCGGAAUGCGCGGUGUAGCGGUGAAAUGCAUAGAUAUCGCGCAGAACUCCGAUUGCGAAGGCAGCUUACGGGAGCGAAUCUGACGCUGAAGCACGAAAGCACGGGUAUCAAACAGGAUUAGAUACCCUGGUAGUCCGCGCCGUAAACGAUGAUCACCAGUUGUUUGCGAGAUACAGUAAGCGACACAGCGAAAGCGUUAAGUGAUCCACCUGGGGAGUACGCCGGCAACGGUGAAACUCAAAGGAAUUGACGGGGGCCCGCACAAGCGGAGGAACAUGUGGUUUAAUUCGAUGAUACGCGAGGAACCUUACCCGGGCUCGAACGGCCGGUGAAUACAGAUGAAAGUUUGUAGUCGCAAGACACCGGUCGAGGUGCUGCAUGGUUGUCGUCAGCUCGUGCCGUGAGGUGUCGGCUUAAGUGCCAUAACGAGCGCAACCCUCACCGACGGUUACCAGCGGGUCAAGCCGGGGACUCUGUCGGAACUGCCGCCGCAAGGUGCGAGGAAGGGGGGGAUGACGUCAAAUCAGCACGGCCCUUACGUCCGGGGCGACACACGUGUUACAAUGGGGGGUACAGAGGGCAGCUACACGGCGACGUGAUGCGAAUCUCAGAAAGCCCCUCCCAGUUCGGAUAGGAGUCUGCAACCCGACUCCUUGAAGCCGGAUUCGCUAGUAAUCGCGCAUCAGCCAUGGCGCGGUGAAUACGUUCCCGGGC
rnacentral:rRNA from 1 species